CAGUCCAAGUGAAUCGGAUGCUUAGACAGGGUUGUGAAGUAUUUUUUUACCACAACUACAACUAUGGAGCACGGAAAUUCUGUUGAUCUGAAAGAUCUGUCUGAGGAUCCGUUGGUGUCUAAGUUCCCAGAUGUGUUCUGCUCGCUACAGGGUGUCCCCCCUGAUAGGUCGGAUCCAUUAAUGAUUGAACUGGAACCAGGGGCAGUUCUGCUGUCCUAGAGUCUGUUUCUGAUGGCUCCUACCGAGAUGGCCAAGCUGAAGUCGACCACGUCCGAGAGAGGACCAUGGUCACAGUACAACCAAGUCGGAGAUUGACCUAAGGUUGAGAAGAGAAUGAUCAAGUCCAGUAAGGGAUGAGGAUCAGGCCACGACCUAUUCAGAGAUGGACCUAUAGUCGGGGUGAAAUGGUCGAGUCCCUGAGUGGACCAGGACCGGAAUACGAUCACGUCCGUAAAUGGACCAGGAUCGAAUUAUGACAAAGUCCAAUGAAGGACAGAGGUCAAGUCUGAGGCGUUUUUAGUCUGGAGGGACUAAGAUCGCAAUGUGGCGAAGCCUGAAAAGGUUGUGGCUGGUUAAGGGGAUGAUCCAGUACGUUGUGGCUGAGGUCAUGAACCUUAUUGUCCAUAAAAGACAAAAGAACCAUAACAAUCUGUUAGGACUCGUUGUAGGACGAGCAGCCUAAAGAUUAGAACGAGUUCGUGAGGACUUGACUGGUACAUCGAGUGGCGUGGGGAUUGGCCAAAUCUACUAAGGCUCGAGUAUGCAGCAAGUUCCUAGGGACUUGUUAUGAUCUAGUCGUGGACUAUGAUCAGAGAUAGAAUAAAAUCUGAAGAAGAUGACAUUCAAAAGAAAGACAUAGACUUGUUGGAUACUAGGACCGCAACAUGGAGCGUUCGUCUAGUGACACAAGGAAUGUCUUUUGAUGGAAUUACAAGUAUCACUUGAAUGAAUGCUGGAUGGACCCUCCACUGUGGUCGAAGUACACCAGUAAGGGUGCCAUAAGCAAAACCAGAAGUACCCCUUGAUACGAUUGUUUGUGGUUAAAUCCUUAUCAAGUAAGGGA